UACGUAGGGGGCGAGCGUUAUCCGGAAUUAUUGGGCGUAAAGAGUGCGUAGGUGGCUUUCUAAGCGCAGGGUUUAAGGCAAUGGCCCAACCAUUGUUCGCCCUGCGAACUGGGAGGCUUGAGUGCAGGAGAGGAAAGCGGAAUUCCUAGUGUAGCGGUGAAAUGCGUAGAUAUUAGGAGGAACACCAGUGGCGAAGGCGGCUUUCUGGACUGUAACUGACACUGAGGCACGAAAGUGUGGGGAGCAAACAGG
rnacentral:rRNA from 1 species